rnacentral:rRNA from 1 species
AGCCAUUAGCCAAACAAGUAUUAAAGGUAAUGCCUGCCCAGUGAGGACAAUCCUUAAACGGCCGCGAUAAUCCGUGCGAAGGUAGCAUAAUCACUUGUCUCCUAAAUAGGGACCUGUAUGAAUGGCCACAUGAGAAAGAAACUGUCUCUUAAAGAUAACCAAUGAAACUGAUCUGUCUGUACAAAAGCAGACAUAAUGAAGCAAGACAAAAAGACCCUGUGAAACUUUUAACCUUAUGUCAACCAACACAUGACACUACCUUUAAGUUGGGGCAACUAUAGAGAAACAAAACCUCUACUACAUAAUUAGACCAACCAGUCCAAUUAGACUUCUACAUGACCCAGUAAUACUGAUCAAUGGACCAAGCUACUCCAGGGAUAACAGCGCCACAUUCUUCAAGAGUCCGCAUCAACAAGAAUAUCUACGACCUCGAUGUUGGAUCAGGGUACCCAAGUGGUGCAGCAACUACUAAUGGUUCGUUUGUUCAACGAUUAAUACCCU